GAUUAUGGCUCAGGACGAACGCUGGCGGCGUGCUUAACACAUGCAAGUCGAACGAGGAUUAGCGGAUUGAGAGUUCGACAGGAUUGAAGCUAAUCGAGUGGCGGACGGGUGAGUAACGCGUGAGCAAUCUGUCCCAGACAGGGGGAUAACACUUGGAAACAGGUGCUAAUACCGCAUAAGACCACGGCAUCGCAUGAUGCAGGGGUAAAAGGAGCAAUCCGGUUUGGGGUGAGUUCGCGUCCGAUUAGAUAGUUGGUGAGGUAACGGCCCACCAAGUCGACGAUCGGUAGCCGACCUGAGAGGGUGAUCGGCCACAUUGGAACUGAGAGACGGUCCAAACUCCUACGGGAGGCAGCAGUGGGGAAUAUUGGGCAAUGGGCGAAAGCCCUGACCCAGCAACGCCGCGUGAGUGAUGAAGGCCCUCGGGUUGUAAAGCUCUGUUAUAGGGGACGAAGGAAGUGACGGUACCCUAUAAGGAAGCCCCGGCUAACUACGUGCCAGCAGCGGC
rnacentral:rRNA from 1 species